rnacentral:rRNA from 1 species
ACUGGCAGGUUUUUAUUCCCCAAGUCCCCCAGGGUAGAGCUUGGUCAGUACCAGGAUGGGAUACCGCCUUGGGAACACUAGAUGCUGUUGGUU